GUCCACGCACUAAACGAUGUCAACUGGUUGUUGGACGGCUUGCUGUUCAGUAACGAAGCUAACGCGUGAAGUUGACCGCCUGGGGAGUACGGCCGCAAGGUUGAAACUCAAAGGAAUUGACGGGGACCCCGCACAAGCGGUGGAUGAUGUGGUUUAAUUCGAUGCAACGCGAAAAACCUUACCUACCCUUGACAUGUCUGGAAUCCUGAAGAGAUUUGGGAGUGCUCGAAAGAGAGCCAGAACACAGGUGCUGCAUGGCCGUCGU
rnacentral:rRNA from 1 species